GAAAGUAAACAAGGGCGCAUGGAGGAUGCCUAGGCUCUCGGAGGCGAAGAAGGACGUGAUAAGCUGCGAAAAGCUCCGUUUAGGUGCAAAUAACCUUUGAUGCGGAGAUCUCCGAAUGGGAUAACCCAAUAUGUUGAAGACAUAUUAUACCGUAAGGUAGGCAAACGCAGGGAACUGAAACAUCUAAGUACCUGCAGGAGAAGAAAACAAAAGUGAUUCCCCCAGUAGCGGCGAGCGACCGGGGAAAAGCCCAAACCGUUAUUGUUUCGGCAUUAACGGGGUAGUAGGACUGCAAGCUUGAUGAAAUAAAUGAAAUGGAACACCUUGGAAAAUGUGAUCACAGAGGGUGAUAAUCCCGUACAUGCAAGUUUAUGAAUCAUAGCAGACUCCUGAGUAAGUCGGGACACGUGUAAUCCUGACCGAAUCCGCCGGGACCAUCCGGCAAGGCUAAAUACUCCUGAGAGACCGAUAGUGAACCAGUACCGUGAGGGAAAGGUGAAAAGCACUUCGAACAGAAGAGUGAAAUAGUCCCUGAACCCAUACGCCUACAAGCAGUCGGAGCCGCUUCGUGCGGUGACGGCGUGCCUUUUGCAUAAUGAGCCUACGAGUUACUCAUCACCAGCGAGGUUAAGUACUUCAGGUACGUAAGCCGAAGCGAAAGCGAGUCUGAAUAGGGCGUCAAGUUGGUGGUGGUAGACGCGAAACCUUAGUGAUCUACCCAUGGGCAGGGUGAAGGUUUGGUAACACAAACUGGAGGCCCGAACCGGUAAACGUUGAAAAGUUUUCGGAUGACCUGUGGGUAGGGGUGAAAGGCCAAUCAAACUGGGAAAUAGCUCGUACUCUCCGAAAUGCAUUUAGGUGCAGCCUCUGUUGUUUUGUUCUAGAGGUAGAGCUACUGAUUGGAUGCGAGGGCUUCACCGCCUAUCAAAUCCGGCCAAACUCCGAAUGCUAGAACAUGAAGACAGGGAGUGAGCCAGCGGGUGCUAAGGUCCGUUGACGAAAGAGGGAGAACUCAGACCAUCAGCUAAGGUCCCCAAUUGUAUGCUAAGUUGGAAUUAAAACGGGGUGGGACUGCUUAGACAGCUAGGAUGUUGGCUUGGAAGCAGCCAUUCAUUUAAAGAGUGCGUAACAGCUCACUAGUCGAGCGGUCCUGCAUGGAUAAUACGCGGGCAUAAGCAUAUAACCGAAGCUAUGGGAUUGUAGAUGAUACAAUCGGUAGGAGAGCAUUCCAUUCAGCGUAGAAGCAGUAUCGUGAGGUAUUGUGGAGCGGAUGGAAAAGCAAAUGUAGGCAUAAGUAACGAUAAUGCGGGUGAGAACCCCGCACGCCGAAAGAUCAAGGAUUCCCCGGCAAUGUCAAUCAUCCGGGGGUAAGUCGGAUCCUAAGGGUAAGCCGAGUGGCGAUCCCGAUGGCAAACAGGUUAAUAUUCCUGUACUGAUCAUAACUGCGAUGCAGCGACGCAGAGGUGACACUGCUGCGUACUGACGGAAUAGUACGUUGAAACCCGUAUUCUUUGAUACCGGUAGUGAAGCACGCCGGUAGAGAUGAAAGGUGAUAGUACCGCAAUGCUUCGGUUGCGCGGAUAACGCAGGUAAGCUGACUGCCAAGAAAACCUGCUAAGCUUCAGGUAAUGAUCAUCCGUACUGUAAACGGACACACGUGAUCAGGUAGAAAAUACUAAGGCGCUCGAGAGAUUCAUGGUUAAGGAACUAGGCAAAAUGGUCCUGUAACUUCGGGAUAAAGGACGCUCUUGUGAAAGAGCCGCAGAUAAUAGGCCCAGGCGACUGUUUACCAAAAACACAUGGCUAUGCUAAUUCGCAAGAAGAUGUAUAUGGCCUGACACCUGCCCGGUGCCGGAAGGUUAAGAGGAGAGCUCAGAGGCAACUCGAAGGUUUGAAUUGAAGCCCCGGUAAACGGCGGCCGUAACUAUAACGGUCCUAAGGUAGCGAAAUUCCUUGUCGGGU
rnacentral:rRNA from 1 species